GCGCGCGUCAAUCUACGCGAUAGCAGCAAGUUUGAUAUUUCACAUAAGCCUCAAAAACGUGGACAGAAUAAAAAUGAAACAACUGCACGUAGCACCAAAAAAAAAAAAAAAUGAAGCAUGCACACUCAGCGACACACUCCCAGAUACGCACAUCCACACACAGUUGUUCUCUGCCCUUCUCCCAUUCCCCUCUGUUGUCUCACUCUCUCCGUGAGCAUCAAUACGGCCCAUUGAUUCAAUAAGGAGCACGCUUUGUGAUGCCAGAGUCAGAGGAGCUGUGUUGGAAUAUCGGUUGCCCGGGACAACAGUCCACCCCCACAUCCUACAUGGAGCCCAUGUCACCAUUGUUCCGAUAUUUCACUGUAAACCAAGUGAGGUCAUGUAUGUAUCUCUGUCGCUAUACUGCUUGUUGGACAGGAAUACCCUUUAAACGUGUGUGUGUGUGUGUGUGUGUGUGUGUGUGUGUGAGUGAUGCGUGGGAGAAAGGAGGCGAUGAGUCAUGGCACACAUACCACUAGGACACAAGAGCUCCCCCUGUUGCCGGGGUAGGGGAAGCCCAGCGGUGUGGGUGUAUUGUCUGGAAGAACAAAGCUGACGGUGACAUCACAGGACGCGUUUCUCCUACAACAGUCAAAGAUCGGAGUGAACUGACAAAGGUUAAGUGCGAUUGCGCCUGAGCAGCCCGGACGAGGGCGGGCCUUUGUGUGGCGAGAUGGAAUGCGGUGCGCUUGGCAUUUUUCAGCAAAAGGGCAUCUGUAUCGAAGUCGCCGCCAAGAGGAUUGUCGGGUGAGAUCACGGCUGCCGAAUACUCAAGGGCGAAAGAAUUUCGACACCGGAGGGACGUGUCAACGUGGAGUUUUGCAGACAAACAAGAAAGUGACUGACAAAGCCGAUGGCAGUUGGAGCGGCGAGGUCAACAUUGAUCAUCCCAUAAUGACAUUUGGAGCCACUGCACUGAGGCCGUCUGCAAGGGAUCAGCCAUCAGCGCCACCAAAUGCCGGGCCAGGCUACAGCAACGCUCAGCACGC